rnacentral:rRNA from 1 species
CUUGCCCACGGGGGGCAGCAGUGGGGAAUAUUGCACAAUGGGGGAAACCCUGAUGCAGCGACGCCGCGUGAAGGAAGAAGUAUUUCGGUAUGUAAACUUCUAUCAGCAGGGAAGAAAAUGACGGUACCUGACUAAGAAGCCCCGGCUAACUACGUGCCAGCAGCCGCGGUAAUACGUAGGGGGCAAGCGUUGUCCGGAUUUACUGGGUGUAAAGGGCGUGUAGCCGGGUUGACAAGUCAGCUGUGAAAACUACGGGCUUAACUUGUAGACUGCAGUUGAAACUGGUUUUCUUGAGUGAAGUAGAG